CUGGGCUCGAACGGCUGGUUAACGGCGGUGGAAACACUGCUACUCCGCAAGGAGGUCCAGUCGAGGUGCUGCAUGGCUGUCGUCAGCUCGUGUCGUGAGAUGUUGGGUUAAGUCCCGCAACGAGCGCAACCCUUGUCCUGUGUUGCCAACCCGCAAGGGGGGACUCGCAGGAGACCGCCAGCGAUAAGCUGGAGGAAGGUGGGGAUGACGUCAAGUCCUCAUGGCCUUUAUGUCCAGGGCUACACACGUGCUACAAUGGCCGGUACAAAGCGCAGCUAAGUCGCGAGACGGAGCCAAUCGCAAAAAACCGGUCUCAGUUCGGAUUGCAGGCUGCAACUCGCCUGCAUGAAGCUGGAAUCGCUAGUAAUGGCGUAUCAGAACGAUGCCGUGAAUACGUUCCCGGGCCUUGUACACACCGCCCGUCACAUCACGAAAGUGGGUUGUACUAGAAGUCUGCAGGCUGACCCGCAAGGGAGGCAGCGGCCCAAGGUAUGACUCAUGAUUGGGGUG
rnacentral:rRNA from 1 species